rnacentral:rRNA from 1 species
UGGGGAAUAUUGCACAAUGGAGGGAACUCUGAUGCAGCGACGCCGCGUGAGUGAUGAAGGAAUUCGUUUCGUAAAACUCUGUUCUAUGGGAAGAAAAGGACUGUACCAUAGGAGAAAGCUCCGGCUAAAUACGUGCCAGCAGCCGCGGUAAUACGUAUGGAGCGAGCGUUGUCCGGAAUUAUUGGGCGUAAAGGGUGCGCAGGCGGCUUUACAAGUUGGAUGUGAAAUAUUGUGGCUCAACCACAAACGUGCAUCCAAAACUACAAAGCUUGAGUUAAGGAGAGGUAAGUGGAAUUCCUGGUGUAGCGGUGGAAUGCAUAGAUAUCAGGAGGAAUACCGGUGGCGAAGGCGACUUACUGGACUUAAACUGACGCUCAGGCACGAAAGCGUGGGGAGCAAACAGG